GACGAACGCUGGCGGCGUGCUUAACACAUGCAAGUCGAACGGAAAGGCCCUGCUUUUGUGGGGUGCUCGAGUGGCGAACGGGUGAGUAACACGUGAGUAACCUGCCCUUGACUUUGGGAUAACUUCAGGAAACUGGGGCUAAUACCGGAUAGGAGCUCCUGCUGCAUGGUGGGGGUUGGAAAGUUUCGGCGGUUGGGGAUGGACUCGCGGCUUAUCAGCUUGUUGGUGGGGUAGUGGCUUACCAAGGCUUUGACGGGUAGCCGGCCUGAGAGGGUGACCGGCCACAUUGGGACUGAGAUACGGCCCAGACUCCUACGGGAGGCAGCAGUGGGGAAUAUUGCACAAUGGGCGGAAGCCUGAUGCAGCAACGCCGCGUGCGGGAUGACGGCCUUCGGGUUGUAAACCGCUUUCGCCUGUGACGAAGCGUGAGUGACGGUAAUGGGUAAAGAAGCACCGGCUAACUACGUGCCAGCAGCCGCGGUGAUACGUAGGGUGCGAGCGUUGUCCGGAUUUAUUGGGCGUAAAGGGCUCGUAGGUGGUUGAUCGCGUCGGAAGUGUAAUCUUGGGGCUUAACCCUGAGCGUGCUUUCGAUACGGGUUGACUUGAGGAAGGUAGGGGAGAAUGGAAUACCUGGUGGAGCGGUGGAAUGCGCAGAUAUCAGGAGGAACACCAGUGGCGAAGGCGGUUCUCUGGGCCUUUCCUGACGCUGAGGAGCGAAAGCGUGGGGAGCGAACA
rnacentral:rRNA from 1 species